AGUCACUGACAUUAGAUACCCGGUAGUCCAGGGUGUAAACGCUGCAGACUUGGUGUUGGAAGCCCUUUGGGGGCAUUCAGUGCCGGAGAGAAGUUGUUAAGUCUGCUACUUGGGAGUACGUCCGCAAGGAUGAAACUUAAAGGAAUUGGCGGGGGAGCACCGCAACGGGAGGAGCGUGCGGUUUAAUUGGAUUCAACACCGUAAAACUCACCAGGGAAGACUGUUACAUGAAGGCCGAGAUGAAGACUCUGCUAGAUUUUCAG
rnacentral:rRNA from 1 species